GGACCGGUAGCUCAGCAGGCAGAGCGCGCGACCGAUAAUCGCGAGGGCGACCGUUCGAAUCGGUCUCGGUCCACCA
rnacentral:tRNA from 1 species